AGAAAAGAGGGUUUUGAGUUUUUUUUUUUCCUAAUUUCUUUUUUUUCAUUUUCUUCUUCUUCUUCCUCUUCCUUUCAGUGCCCCUUAUAUUGCAAGAGAGAGUGAGCGAGUAAGUGAGAAUCUUUCGAUUGGGAGGGGGGAGAAAGAGAGCGACAUCGGUUGUUCUGGGUUUGGCUGAAAGGAUCUCUCUUUCUCUCCUUUGGUCUGAUCUUAAUCUUCUUUGAAUUGAACGGCGAAAGAUGAGCAAAUCAGAUGAGAACAGCGUUGGACUAAUUGGAUCAACCAAUCUUCCACAAGGCGGAGGAGGAGGAGGAAAGAUCAUGGCGGCGGCUAACACUGGCCCGACCAGAAGAGCGCUCAGUGCAAUUAACAAGAACAUCAAUGAACCUCCCUCUUACCCUUAUGCUGUUAACAACAAGAGAUCACUUUCCGAAAGGAAUGCUGCAAUCUGUAA